ACGCACGCUGGCGGCAUGCCUCACACCUGCCAGUCGAACGAGACCUUCGGGUCUAGUGGCGCACGGGUGCGUAACGCGUGGGAACCUGCCCUUAGGUUCGGAAUAACUCCCCGAAAGGGGUGCUAAUACCGGAUAAUGUCUUCGGACCAAAGAUUUAUCGCCUUUGGAUGGGCCCGCGUUGGAUUAGCUAGUUGGUAGGGUAAAAGCCUACCAAGGCGACGAUCCAUAGCUGGUCUGAGAGGAUGAUCAGCCACACUGGGACUGAGACACGGCCCAGACUCCUACGGGAGGCAGCAGUGGGGAAUAUUGGACAAUGGGCGAAAGCCUGAUCCAGCAAUGCCGCGUGAGUGAUGAAGGCCUUAGGGUUGUAAAGCUCUUUUACCCGGGAUGAUAAUGACAGUACCGGGAGAAUAAGCGCCGGCUAACUCCGUG
rnacentral:rRNA from 1 species